CCGCCCAAGAGUUCAUAUCGACGGCGGUGUUUGGCACCUCGAUGUCGGCUCAUCACAUCCUGGGGGCUGAAGUAGGUCCCAAGGGUAUGGCUGUUCGCCAUUUAAAGUGGUACGCGAGCUGGGUUUAGAACGUCGUGAGACAGUUCGGUCCCUAUCUGCCGUGGGCGUUGGAAGAUUGAGAGGGGUUGCUCCUAGUACGAGAGGACCGGAGUGAACGCACCACUGGUGUUCGGG
rnacentral:rRNA from 1 species